rnacentral:rRNA from 1 species
AGUGAACGCUGGCGGUAGGCCUAACACAUGCAAGUCGAACGGCAGCACAGUAAGAGCUUGCUCUUACGGGUGGCGAGUGGCGGACGAGUGAGGAAUACAUCGGAAUCUACUUUUUCGCGGGGGAUAACGUAGGGAAACUUACGCUAAUACCGCAUACGACCUACGGGUGAAAGCAGGGGAUCUUCGGACCUUGCGCGAUUGAAUGAGCCGAUGUCGGAUUAGCUAGUUGGCGGGGUAAAGGCCCACCAAGGCGACGAUCCGUAGCUGGUCUGAGAGGAUGAUCAGCCACACUGGAACUGAGACACGGUCCAGACUCCUACGGGAGGCAGCAGUGGGGAAUAUUGGACAAUGGGCGCAAGCCUGAUCCAGCCAUACCGCGUGGGUGAAGAAGGCCUUCGGGUUGUAAAGCCCUUUUGUUGGGAAAGAAAAGCAGCAGGUUAAUACCCCGCUGUUCUGACGGUACCCAAAGAAUAAGCACCGGCUAACUUCGUG